rnacentral:rRNA from 1 species
UACACACGGAUAACAUACCGAAAGGUAUGCUAAUACGGGAUAAUAUAUUUGAGAGGCAUCUCUUAAAUAUCAAAGGUGAGCCAGUACAGGAUGGACCCGCGUCUGAUUAGCUAGUUGGUAAGGUAAAGGCUUACCAAGGCGACGAUCAGUAGCCGACCUGAGAGGGUGAUCGGCCACAUUGGAACUGAGACACGGUCCAAACUCCUACGGGAGGCAGCAGUGGGGAAUAUUGCACAAUGGGCGAAAGCCUGAUGCAGCAACGCCGCGUGAGUGAUGAAGGCCUUCGGGUCGUAAAACUCUGUCCUCAAGGAAGAUAAUGACGGUACUUGAGGAGGAAGUCCCGGCUAACUACGUGCCAGCAGCCGCGGUAAUACGUAGGGGGCUAGCGUUAUCCGGAUUUACUGGGCGUAAAGGGUGCGUAGGCGGUCUUUCAAGUCAGGAGUGAAAGGCUACGGCUCAACCGUAGUAAGCUCUUGAAACUGGGAGACUUGAGUGCAGGAGAGGAGAGUGGAAUUCCUAGUGUAGCGGUGAAAUGCGUAGAUAUUAGGAGGAACACCAGUUGCGAAGGCGGCUCUCUGGACUGUAACUGACGCUGAGGCACGAAAGCGUGGGGAGCAAACAGGAUUAGAUACCCUGGUAGUCCACGCUGUAAACGAUGAAUACUAGGUGUCGGGGGUUACCCCCUUCGGUGCCGCAGC